rnacentral:tRNA from 1 species
GCUUCAGUAGCUCAGUUGGUUAGAGCAUGUGGCUGUUAACCCCAAGGUCAGAGGUUUGACCUCUCCCUGGAGCU